rnacentral:rRNA from 1 species
GAACGCGGCGGCGGCCCUCAGCUUAUCGAGCGAGAAGCUAACUCCGUGAGGUGAACAGCGGCGCACGGGUGAGUAACGCGUGGGAAUUUACCUUUCGGCGGGGGACAACAGUUGGAAACGACUGCUAAUACCGCAUACGCCCUACGGGGGAAAGAUUUAUCACCGAAAGAUAGGCCCGCGUUAGAUUAGGUAGUUGGUAGGGUCGAAGCCUACCAAGCCGACGAUCUAUAGCUGGUUUGAGAGAACGAUCAGCCACACUGGAACUGAGACACGGUCCAGACUCCUACGGGAGACAGCAGUGGGGAAUCUUGCACAAUGGGCGAAAGCCUGAUGCAGCCAUGCCGCGUGAGUGAGAAGGCCUUCGGGUUGUAAAACUCUUUUAGAUGUGAAGAUGAUGACGGUAACAUCAGAAAAAGCACCGGCUAACUUCGUGCCAGCAGCCGCGGUAAUACGAAGGGUGCUAGCGUAGUUCGGAAUUACUGGGACGUAAAGAGCGUGUAGGCGG